CAGGAAGAGUGUUCUUGGUCACAAUACUAUCUUGAAUCUGCCUAGAUGUUUCUCCACAUUGACUUCCAUCUUUACUUUCAACAAAUCUCUCUAACAUACGACAUCUGUAAAAAAUGGGAAAUAGAUCACUAAAGGGCCAACCAUAUCCCCUUUCCAUAUUCCAAAUCUUUGAAUAGCAUGAAUGACCAAGAAACAAAUGUCUCCAAUUAAAUAAGUGGAAAUGCGAUGUCAUCCUUACCUACACAAUCCAGGUUCCUGAUGGUUUCCUGCAUCACAUCUUUGUAGAGAUUCUUCUGACAAGGACCCAGCAAAGCCCACUCUUCUCGGGUGAAGUUCACAGCCACAUCCUCUAAAGCCACUGAGGCCUGAUCCAUCCCACAUGUACAGAGGAGGAAGGGUGAAAAUCACAGUACUGAGAAUCUAUACUCACUUCAUAAAUUUCACAUGAUGCUGUGGUUUCCAACCAUUUUAUUCAAUGACAUGGGACUCUGCAGAGUCCCCACCAGCAAGAAGGUUCUUACCAGAUGCCCAGCCUUAAUCUUGGACUUCCCAGCCUCCAGAAAUGUAAAAAUUAAAUACUGUUUCUUAUAAAUU